rnacentral:tRNA from 1 species
GAUUAAAUAGUUUAUACAAAACAAUAGCCUGUAAAGUUAGAGAAAAUUAUAAUUUUUUAAUCA